rnacentral:rRNA from 1 species
UACAGAGGUGGCAAGCGUUGUUCGGAAUUAUUGGGCGUAAAGGGCUCGUAGGCGGUUUGUCGCGUCGGGAGUGAAAACCUCGGGCUUAACUCGGGGCUUGCUUUCGAUACGGGCAGACUGGAGGUAUGCAGGGGAGAACGGAAUUCCUGGUGUAGCGGUGAAAUGCGCAGAUAUCAGGAGGAACACCGGUGGCGAAGGCGGGUCUCUGGGCCGAUACUGACGCUGAGGAGCGAAAGCGUGGGGAGCGAACAGG